rnacentral:rRNA from 1 species
UUCGGGGGGGGCAAGCGUUGUUCGGAAUUACUGGGCGUAAAGGGCUCGUAGGUGGCCAACUAAGUCAGACGUGAAAUCCCUCAGCUUAACUGGGGAACUGCGUCUGAUACUGGAUGGCUUGAGUUUGGGAGAGGGAUGCGGAAUUCCAGGUGUAGCGGUGGAAUGCGUAGAUAUCUGGAGGAACACCGGUGGCGAAGGCGGCAUCCUGGACCAACACUGACACUGAUGAGCGAAAGCCAGGGGAGCAAACGGG